AAAAACUUUCAACAACGGAUCUCUUGGUUCCAGCAUCGAUGAAGAACGCAGCGAAAUGCGAUAAGUAAUGUGAAUUGCAGAAUUCAGUGAAUCAUCGAAUCUUUGAACGCACAUUGCGCCCCUCGGUAUUCCGGGGGGCAUGCCUGUUCGAGCGU
rnacentral:rRNA from 3 species